CCUACGGGUGUCAGCAGUGAGGAAUAUUGGUCAAUGGGCGCGAGCCUGAACCAGCCAAGUAGCGUGAAGGAUGACUGCCCUACGGGUUGUAAACUUCUUUUAUAAAGGAAUAAAGUGAGUCACGUGUGCCUUUUUGUAUGUACUUUAUGAAUAAGGAUCGGCGAACUCCGUGCCAGCAGCCGCGCUAAUACGGAGGAUGCGAGCGUUAUCCGGAUUUAUUGGGUUUAAAGGGAGCGUAGAUGGGAUGUUAAGUCAGGUGUGAAAGUUUGCGGCUCAACCGUAAAAUUGCAAUUGAGACUGGCAGUCUUGAGUACAGUUGAGGGAGGCGGAAUUCGUGGUGUAGCAGUGAAAUGCUUAGAUAUCACGAAGAACACCGAUUGCGAAGGCAGCUUACUAACCUGCCACUGACAUUGAUGCUCGAAAGUGUGGGUAUCAAACAGGAUUAGAUACCCGGGUAGUC
rnacentral:rRNA from 1 species